UACGAAGGGGGCUAGCGUUGCUCGGAUUUACUGGGCGUAAAGCGCACGUAGGCGGGUCGUUAAGUCGGGGGUGAAAUCCCGGAGCUCAACUCCGGAACUGCCUUCGACACUGGCGAUCUGGAGUCCGGGAGAGGUGAGUGGAAUUCCGAGUGUAGAGGUGAAAUUCGUAGAUAUUCGGAAGAACACCAGUGGCGAAGGCGGCUCCCUGGCCCGGUACUGACGCUGAGGUGCGAAAGCGUGGGGAGCAAACAGG
rnacentral:rRNA from 1 species